rfam:Callithrix jacchus chromosome 12, whole genome shotgun sequence
UCCAUAUCUAAAAGAAACAGGUUUCAAGUGCCUUUCUGCAGUUUUUCAGGAGCACAAGAUAGAUU